rnacentral:rRNA from 1 species
GACGAACGCUGGCGGCGUGCUUAACACAUGCAAGUCGAACGGAAAGGCCUCUUUCGGGGGGUACUCGAGUGGCGAACGGGUGUGUAACACGUGAGUAACCUGCCCUUGACUUUGGGAUAACUUCAGGAAACUGGGGCUAAUACCGGAUAGGAGCUCCUGUUGCAUGGUGGGGGUUGGAAAGUUUCGGCGGUUGGGGAUGGACUCGCGGCUUAUCAGCUUGUUGGUGGGGUAGUGGCUUACCAAGGCUUUGACGGGUAGCCGGCCUGAGAGGGUGACCGGCCACAUUGGGACUGAGAUACGGCCCAGACUCCUACGGGAGGCAGCAGUGGGGAAUAUUGCACAAUGGGUGGAAGCCUGAUGCAGCAACGCCGUGUGCGGGAUGACGGCCUUCGGGUUGUAAACCGCUUUCGCUCAUGACGAAGCUUUGUGUGACGGUAGUGGGUAAAGAAGCACCGGCUAACUACGUG